rnacentral:rRNA from 1 species
UACGUAGGGCGCAAGCGUUGUCCGGAUUUAUUGGGCGUAAAGAGUAUCGUAGGCGGUUUGUUAAGUAUUGGGUUAAAGCCUGGAGCUCAACUCCAGAGAUGCUCGAUAAACUAACAGACUAGUGGUUGUUCGGGGUUACUAGAAUUCUUGGUGGAGGAGUGAAAUCCAUUGAUAUCAAGAAGAAUACCAAAAGCGAAGGCAGGUAACUAGGACAUACCAGACGCUGAUGAACGAAAGCUAGGGGAGCGAA